rnacentral:rRNA from 1 species
CGGACGGGUGAGUAAAGAGUGAGAAUCUGCCUUUUGGAUCGGGACAACUGCUGGAAACGGCAGCUAAGACCGGAUGUGCCGCAAGGUGAAAUAUUAAUAGCCAAAAGAGGAGCUCGCGACCGAUUAGCUAGUUGGUGGGGUAAGAGCCUACCAAGGCUGCGAUCGGUAGCCGGUUUGAGAGGACGACCGGCCACACUGGGACUGAGACACGGCCCAGACUCCUACGGGAGGCAGCAGUGGGGAAUUUUCCGCAAUGGGCGAAAGCCUGACGGAGCAAUACCGCGUGAGGGAGGAAGGCUCUUGGGUCGUAAACCUCUUUUCUCAGGGAAGAAGCAAUGACGGUACCUGAGGAAUCAGCAUCGGCUAACUCCGUGCCAGCAGCCGCGGUAAUACGGAGGAUGCAAGCGUUAUCCGGAAUGAUUGGGCGUAAAGCGUCCGCAGGUGGCACAUCAAGUCUGCUGUCAAAGCCCCCAGCUUAACUGGGAAGAGGCGGUGGAAACUGGUGAGCUAGAGAGCAAUAGGGGUAGAGGGAAUUCCCGGUGUAGCGGUGAAAUGCGUAGAGAUCGGGAAGAACACCAGUGGCGAAAGCGCUCUACUAGGU